UACGAAGGGGGCUAGCGUUGCUCGGAAUCACUGGGCGUAAAGCGCACGUAGGCGGCUUUUUAAGUCAGGGGUGAAAUCCUGGAGCUCAACUCCAGAACUGCCUUUGAUACUGGGAAGCUUGAGUCCGGGAGAGGUGAGUGGAACUCCGAGUGUAGAGGUGAAAUUCGUAGAUAUUCGGAAGAACACCAGUGGCGAAGGCGACUUACUGGACACAUAUUGACGCUGAGGUGCGAAAGCGUGGGGAGCAAACAGG
rnacentral:rRNA from 1 species